AACACAUGAUAAGGGCAUUGUCUAAGAAGAUCCUUGAACCUCUCAUGUGCCUUGAACAAUGUCUCCGACUCUUCCUGCUUGAAUGCUGAGAUCUCCAGUUUGAUCUU